rnacentral:rRNA from 1 species
CCGCGCCGCAUUAGCUAGUUGGUAAGGAACGGCUUACCAAGGCAACGAUGCGUAGCCGACCUGAGAGGGUGAUCGGCCACACUGGAACUGAGACACGGUCCAGACUCCUACGGGAGGCAGCAGUAGGGAAUCUUCCGCAAUGGGCGAAAGCCUGACGGAGCAACGCCGCGUGAGUGAUGAAGGUCUUCGGAUCGUAAAACUCUGUUAUUAGGGAAGAACAAAUGUGUAAGUAACUAUGCACGUCUUGACGGUACCUAAUCAGAAAGCCACGGCUAACUACGUGCCAGCAGCCGCGGUAAUACGUAGGUGGCAAGCGUUAUCCGGAAUUAUUGGGCGUAAAGCGCGCGUAGGCGGUUUUUAAGUCUGAUGUGAAAGCCCACGGCUCAACCGUGGAGGGUCAUUGGAAACUGGGAAACUUGAGUGCAGAAGAGGAAAGUGGAAUUCCAUGUGUAGCGGUGAAAUGCGCAGAGAUAUGGAGGAACACCAGUGGCGAAGGCGACUUUCUGGUCUGUAACUGACGCUGAUGUGCGAAAGCGUGGGGAUCAAACAGGAUUAGAUACCCUGGUAGUCCACGCCGUAACGAUGAGUGCAGUGUAGGGGGUUUCCGCCCCUUAGUGCUGCAGCUAACGCAU